rnacentral:rRNA from 1 species
UACGGAGGGGGCUAGCGUUGUUCGGAAUUACUGGGCGUAAAGCGCACGUAGGCGGAUCUGCAAGUCGGGGGUGAAAUCCCGAGGCUCAACCUCGGAACUGCCUUCGAUACUGCGGGUCUCGAGUCCGGGAGAGGUGAGUGGAAUUCCUAGUGUAGAGGUGAAAUUCGUAGAUAUUAGGAAGAACACCAGUGGCGAAGGCGGCUCACUGGCCCGGUACUGACGCUGAGGCGCGAAAGCGUGGGGAGCAAACAGG